CUGAAGCACUCAUCAACAGAUAUGGCCUCACACUGCUUGUUUCUCAGACAGGAGUACCCCAGCAUCACAAAGGAGACUUAAGUACCUCUUCAUCUCUCUACAUCGUGUCUAUGUGAGGCUGGCUUCUCUGCUGUGAACACGAAGAAGAACAAUAAGAAGUCGUGGUUUCGAACACUGGAGGAGGGCUUCAGGAUAUGCUUGUCAACCAUCCGACCUCGCACAAGGGACAUGUUUCCCACUGAUAUUUUUAUGCUUACAAAGAAGGUGAACCAUUUCAAACCUCAUCAAAAACACAGCCAAAGGAGAAGAAAAUCAGCAUUACAACAAAGAAUCUUAAUGAGCUAAAAAAGGGAUAUUACUGCAGGGACCUCUGAAGAUGGCAAAUAAUACCCCUACUUUCCAAUCUGACAGAAGAAGCAUUGGGAUACAAACUAUAUUGGUUCAAGAUCUUAAAUAAUAGACAUUAAUAAGAUUUUUAAUCUAAAUAACUGUAAAUAAUUCUUUAUAUAAUAACCUCUAAAUAUGUAUUACAAGCUUUCUAAUAGGAGUUCCUAAACAUGUUGAUUUUAUUGCUUUCUGAAGACGGUCACAGCUAAUCAAAACAUUUAAAGGCAUUAAGUGUCUAUAAAUUGAAUCACACUGGA